AAGAACUUAUAAUAAUCAUGUUAAAAAUGUUGUACUCACAUGGGUUAAAUACUACAUAUAAAACAUAAGUUUCUAAAAUUAUGGUUGUUGUUAUUGAGGUGGAUAGGAACUGUACAUGCACCCAAGUAUUAAAUAAAUUUGCGAAAAAACGAAACGUAUUAAAAAUUCAAAAAUAUCCGUUAGACUUCAUGAAAUUCUCUCCAGAUGUUUUUUUCUUUUAAACGUCAACAAAUUUAAACCAAUCACAGUAUCAUAAGAAAAGCUAAAUCAUCACUUUGAAUUUUACUGUGAGUGUAAAGAGACUGUAGGGUGUUAGUCAUUAUUUGGAAUUGAAACCCACAUCAUGUCAAUACAGGUUCAAAAAAAAUUAAACAAGAAAACCUAUUCAUUGUCGGGUAUCGAAGAAGAAUAUUUUAAUAAUUUAAGCAGUAUAAAUAUUGAAGAAUUCUCACAAGAUUUAACUGAAGAAUUAUUCCCUGAUGUUUGGUUCAUGGAAGAUUAUCCCGUUCAAGUCGAAAUAGAAUCAUCCGAUAAAUAUUCCAUAAUCGAUUGUACUCAACAUCCACCGUAGGCAAUGGAUAUGAGACUAUUUGGUCAUGAAUCAUAUGUUGAUUCGUUUGUUGCAUCGAUAGAGAAUAAUUAUAUAUUCUCUGGUUGACAUCUGGAAAAAUUCAUGUAUGGAGGAGAAUUUGAUGGAGUUAAUUACUCAAGCAACAUGGCAGGAUAAUGCAAAUUCUUUGGUGAAUUCUCACUUAGAUUCACAACCGUCAGAAAAUUCAAACAUGGAAGAUAGUCUGAUGGAGUUAAUUACUCAACACACAUUGGAUCAUAUUGUAAAAUCUAUGGAUGAUGAUGAUAACGAAGAAAUAAAACGAAACGUUACGUGUGGGAACAAUGAUUUUUACGAUGAAAAAAGAGCAUUAGAAGUAGAUUUAAUAACUCUCAAGGCGAUGGAAGAGUAUGAAAAAAAAUUGAAAAACAAAAAUAAAAAAAAUUGUUUACAAUGAUAAUUAUUUAUUUAAAAAAUUUAAAAAUAAUAUAAUGAUUACAAUUGUAAAUUUUCACAAAUUAUAAUAUAACAAUUACCAUUGUAAAUGUGUUGAUUUGAAAUAACAUAGAUUAAACUACCUUGUGUACUUCACUAGUCAUUGCGUUGUACUCGAAAAUUUUAUCAUGUAAUAUAAGACAAUAUGCUGACGUAUCGUUUGGUAUAGGAAUCUUGGUUUCGAAUUCAAUUCGAACGUCUACAGGAGCAUUUUUAAUUUUUUCAUUCUGUUUCGA